GUGUCAGCAGCCGCGGUAAUACGAAGGGUGCAAGCGUUAAUCGGAAUUACUGGGCGUAAAGGGUGCGUAGGCGGUUAGUUAAGUCUGUCGUGAAAUCCCCGGGCUCAACCUGGGAAUGGCGAUGGAUACUGGCUAGCUAGAGUGUGUCAGAGGAUGGUGGAAUUCCCGGUGUAGCGGUGAAAUGCGUAGAGAUCGGGAGGAACAUCAGUGGCGAAGGCGGCCAUCUGGGACAACACUGACGCUGAAGCACGAAAGCGUGGGGAGCAAACAGGAUUAGAUACCCCUGUAGUCC
rnacentral:rRNA from 1 species